rnacentral:rRNA from 1 species
UACGUAGGGGGCUAGCGUUGUCCGGAAUUAUUGGGCGUAAAGAGCGUGUAGGCGGUUCGAUAAGUUUGCUGUAAAAGUCAAGGGCUCAACCCUUGAAAGCCGGUGAAUACUGUCGGACUAGAGUACGGAAGAGGCGAGUGGAAUUCCUGGUGUAGCGGUGAAAUGCGCAGAUAUCAGGAGGAACACCAAUUGCGAAGGCAGCUCGCUGGGACGUUACUGACGCUGAGACGCGAAAGCGUGGGGAGCGAACAGG